rnacentral:lncRNA from 10 species
UACAGUUAAUUUAACAUGGAUAAACUCAGCACUCAAGUUGGUAGAGUUCUGAGAUGAGGAAGUAGAACUUGAGCCUGUGAAGGAGACCAAGGAGCAACUGGACAGAAAGGUGGAAACUUGAAAGAGUUUUGUGUCAUGGAAACCAAGGAAGGAAAGCUUGUUAAGAGAGAAAUGUACAACUAUGUGGAAUGCUGCUGAAGGAUCAGGGACAAGAACCUUGCUGUGAAUCAGGUG